CCUUAGAGUUGAUCCUGGCUCAGGACGAACGCUGGCGGCGUGCUUAACACAUGCAAGUCGAACGGGGUGUUUAUUUCGGUAAACACCAAGUGGCGAACGGGUGAGUAACGCGUAAGCAAUCUACCUUCAAGAUGGGGACAACACUUCGAAAGGGGUGCUAAUACCGAAUGAAUGUAAGAGUAUCGCAUGAGACACUUACUAAAGGAGGCCUCUGACAUAAGCUUCCGCUUGAAGAUGAGCUUGCGUCUGAUUAGCUAGUUGGUGAGGGUAAAGGCCCACCAAGGCGACGAUCAGUAGCCGGUCUGAGAGGAUGAACGGCCACAUUGGGACUGAGACACGGCCCAGACUCCUACGGGAGGCAGCAGUGGGGAAUCUUCCGCAAUGGGCGAAAGCCUGACGGAGCAACGCCGCGUGAACGAUGAAGGUCUUAGGAUCGUAAAGUUCUGUUGUUAGGGACGAAGGGUAAGGAUCAUAAUAAGGUUUUUAUUUGACGGUACCUAACGAGGAAGCCACGGCUAACUACGUGCCAGCAGCCGCGGUAAUACGUAGGCGGCAAGCGUUGUCCGGAAUUAUUGGGCGUAAAGGGAGCGCAGGCGGGAAACUAAGCGGAUCUUAAAAGUGCGGGGCUCAACCCCGUGAUGGGGUCCGAACUGGUUUUCUUGAGUGCAGGAGAGGAAAGCGGAAUUCCCAGUGUAGCGGUGAAAUGCGUAGAUAUUGGGAAGAACACCAGUGGCGAAGGCGGCUUUCUGGACUGUAACUGACGCUGAGGCUCGAAAGCUAGGGUAGCGAACGGGAUUAGAUACCCCGGUAGUCCUAGCCGUAAACGAUGGAUACUAGGUGUGGGAGGUAUCGACUCCUUCCGUGCCGGAGUUAACGCAAUAAGUAUCCCGCCUGGGGAGUACGGCCGCAAGGUUGAAACU
rnacentral:rRNA from 1 species